rnacentral:rRNA from 1 species
UACGGGGGACGCAAGCGUUAUCCGGAAUUAUCUGGCGUAAAGGGCGCGUAGGCGGUCGUGAACAAGUCACUUGUAGAAAUCUCCGGCUUAACUCGGAACGGUCAAGUGAUACUGUCGGACUACGAGUACAGAAGGGGCGAACUGGAAUUCUCGGGUGUAGCGGUGAAAUGCGUAGAUAUUGGGAGGAACACCAGUGGCGAAGGCGGCUCACUGGACCGGUACUGACGCUGAGGCGCGAAAGCGUGGGGAGCAAACGGG